GUAGUAUUCCCUCCGUCCCAAAAUUCUUGUCUUACAUUUGUUUAGAUACGGAUGUAUCUAACACUAAAAUGUAAUUGGAUACAUCCGUAUUUAGACAAAUUUAAGACAAGAAUUUUGGGACGGAGGGAGUACAAA
rfam:Triticum aestivum genome assembly, contig: Triticum_aestivum_CS42_TGACv1_scaffold_513698_6BS